ACGCAACUGGUCCAGAACCUUGACCGAACGCAGCGGUGGUAACGGCGCAGUGGCGGUUUUCAUGGCUUGUUAUGACUGUUUUUUUGUACAGUCUAUGCCUCGGGCAUCCAAGCAGCAAGCGCGUUACGCCGUGGGUCGAUGUUUGAUGUUAUGGAGCAGCAACGAUGUUACGCAGCAGGGCAGUCGCCCUAAAACAAAGUUAACCGGCUCACCUAGGCGACGAUCCCUAGCUGGUCUGAGAGGAUGACCAGCCACACUGGAACUGAGACACGGUCCAGACUCCUACGGGAGGCAGCAGUGGGGAAUAUUGCACAAUGGGCGCAAGCCUGAUGCAGCCAUGCCGCGUGUGUGAAGAAGGCCUUCGGGUUGUAAAGCACUUUCAGCGGGGAGGAAGGCGGUGAGGUUAAUAACCUCAUCGAUUGACGUUACCCGCAGAAGAAGCACCGGCUAACUCCGUGCCAGCAGCCGCGGUAAUACGGAGGGUGCAAGCGUUAAUCGGAAUUACUGGGCGUAAAGCGCACGCAGGCGGUCUGUCAAGUCGGAUGUGAAAUCCCCGGGCUCAACCUGGGAACUGCAUUCGAAACUGGCAGGCUAGAGUCUUGUAGAGGGGGGUAGAAUUCCAGGUGUAGCGGUGAAAUGCGUAGAGAUCUGGAGGAAUACCGGUGGCGAAGGCGGCCCCCUGGACAAAGACUGACGCUCAGGUGCGAAAGCGUGGGGAGCAAACAGGAUUAGAUACCCUGGUAGUCCACGCCGUAAACGAUGUCGAUUUGGAGGUUGUGCCCUUGAGGCGUGGCUUCCGGAGCUAACGCGUUAAAUCGACCGCCUGGGGAGUACGGCCGCAAGGUUAAAACUCAAAUGAAUUGACGGGGGCCCGCACAAGCGGUGGAGCAUGUGGUUUAAUUCGAUGCAACGCGAAGAACCUUACCUGGUCUUGACAUCCACAGAACUUUCCAGAGAUGGAUUGGUGCCUUCGGGAACUGUGAGACAGGUGCUGCAUGGCUGUCGUCAGCUCGUGUUGUGAAAUGUUGGGUUAAGUCCCGCAACGAGCGCAACCCUUAUCCUUUGUUGCCAGCGGUUAGGCCGGGAACUCAAAGGAGACUGCCAGUGAUAAACUGGAGGAAGGUGGGGAUGACGUCAAGUCAUCAUGGCCCUUACGACCAGGGCUACACACGUGCUACAAUGGCAUAUACAAAGAGAAGCGACCUCGCGAGAGCAAGCGGACCUCAUAAAGUAUGUCGUAGUCCGGAUUGGAGUCUGCAACUCGACUCCAUGAAGUCGGAAUCGCUAGUAAUCGUAGAUCAGAAUGCUACGGUGAAUACGUUCCCGGGCCUUGUACACACCGCCCGUCACACCAUGGGAGUGGGUUGCAAAAGAAGUAGGUAGCUUAACCUUCGGGAGGGCGCUUACCACUUUGUGAUUCAUGACUGGGGUGAAGUCGUAACAAGGUAACCGUAGGGGAACCUGCGGUUGGAUCACCUCCUUA
rnacentral:rRNA from 1 species